CUUAUUUAUCGAAAUGAUCGGAGUGUUUGGCUAGAAGGAAGUUGUGCGAAGAACUUGAAGAUGCCAAAGAUCAAUUCGGAGCCAAAUAUGGGAGAAUUCAUGGGAUGGCCAGAUAUGGAUAACGCAAUGGUAUGUCAAAGGUCUCGGCGUCCUGUGACUGCAAUUUGAAUGAAUUGUAGACCCACCCGACGUCAAAUUUCGAGAAUGAAGAUGUGAUGAAAAGUACAAAGCAACCGAACGAUUUCGUCAGUUUUGAACAACUGCAAGCUCCUCCACCAGUUCUCCAACGACAAAAUGGAGCUAUUUAUUCUACUCAAUCCGUCGCUUUUACACACAUUUCCGGAAAUGAUGGUGUUGAGGAUCUCACUGAAAAAAUAAGUCAUUUGGGAGAAGAAGCGUACAACAUUGAUAUGGCAAAUGCUCUUCAUGCCUUCAGUGACAACUGGCAUUAUGAAAUUCAUCCUAACACUGGUAGUUAGAUGAUCGGCACUGAUUUCAAAUCAUUAAAAUUGAUUUUCAGUGCACAACGCCUCUUUCGAACAAUUGCACAUCGGAGAUGGGAAUUCGAGCAUCGGAACCAUCGGAUUCAACCCAUUAGAGCCCUAUCCUCAAAGUUCAUUCCCACAAAGCAAUAAUUGGCAACAGG
rnacentral:sRNA from 1 species